UAUGAUCUACUUUAUCAAAGGCAGCACUGAGGUCUAAUAGUAUUAAACUGGCAGAAUCUCCCAAGUCAGUAAAAGUGAAAAGGUCAUUAAAACCUUUUAAAAGAGCAGUUUCAGUGCUGUGGUGGGCUUUAAAACCAGACCGAAAUACUUCACUAUUGCCAUUUUUAUCUCGAAAGGUCUGGAGCUGAAGAAUAGGUUCCACCACAGCAUGUUUAAAGUCAGCAGGGACACACCCAGACCGAAGACUGCUAUUGACAAAAGACAGCAAACUCAUACCCACAAUGUCAUAACAUCUUAUAGUAAAUGAGAUGGAACAACAUCCAGAGUACAAGUACAGUGAAGAUUUUGAAGCAAUUCACCCGAUGGUCCAUUGGCUUCAAAUCGGUCUGCUGCGCGGCCUCUUAACUGAAGAAAAUCUCCGUGUUCUGGGCCAAGUUGUUAAUCAACAGCAACAACAUGAUGUUGAGGAGGACAAUCUUCAGAAUGAUGAGGAAGAGGCUGAUAAGGAAGAGGGGAAAGAGGCUGAUGUUCCAGCAGCAGACACAGAAAUAAAUCCACCUCAAGUUGAAGGACACUGGACCAAUAACAGAGCAGAGAUCCCAGCAGGAGAAAUGGAAAUAAACGUGGCCCAGCAAGCAGAAGAUCCCAUAGCUGAAGAAAUGAGGUUAUACUGGGAUAACGAGGAGGCUGAGAGUGACAGUGUCCCUGAGAGUGGUCCUGACAGUGACCCCGAUCACAGUGACACUGACGACAGCGACAGUGAUGAUGAUGGAGCCAAGGGUGGAGGAGAAUGAUGAAGAGGAAGAUGGGAGACCCAGAAAAUGAUCCAAACACUGAAUUUUGCUCCUGGACACUCAGUGUUGCACCCAUCCUCCAAACCCACAGUCCCCCGUCCUAACAAACUGAAUCUCAGCUUUCCCCCUCUGACGCACUGACUUAGUUUCCUGCCACCAGCGACCUGUUGACCUGACUGCCACGUACCACCUGUGGAUAUCUGUUCAGCCUGUGACCCACUAUGAUUGUGCUUACAAGUGGAAUGCAACAAGUGUGUGUUUCAUACCACUGGUACCUUGUUAGGUGGUGAUGAUCGUGCUCUUACUGGUCGCAGUUAUGGAGGGAGUGGUCCUAUUGGUUGGCUCCCACAUUAGGAAGGCGGGGUUGGGGCCUUCCUAUUAUCAUUAUGCCAACAUUAUUAAUAUGGUAUAGUCUUCCUCCCCUUUUUCCUUCCUGCUGUCACCAAAUGCUUGCUCAUCGGGGCUCAAACUCAUCAGCAACCAGCUGCAGAGGAGCUUGCAUCCACUAAGAGCAGCAGGAACAAAGUCAGGAAACAAAUGCUCCGAAGGAAAAAGUGAAAAACCUCAAAGCAAACAGACACUCAAAGAAAGGAAGACGAAGAAGAGAAAGGAAAGGAGGCAAAACAAAAGACGAGAGAAGAAAUUCACUGAAACAUCACUUGAUGAUUGCACAAAAACUCAGAUCUGCCAAACGGUACACCUUGCACAAAGCUUUGGACCUCAUUACAGCACCAGUUGAAGAUGGAGGUUUGGUCCACUCAUCCAGUCUGGGUUCUGCCAACUUCAUUGAAGGGAUAGAUCUUUGCCAUGAAAUGGGUAGCAGUCGAUGAACCGGUUUUUGAACUGCUGCAGUAUCCAGAUUUUGAAGCAAUUCACCCGAUGGUCCACUGGCUUGAGAUCGGUCUGUUGCGCAGCCUCUUAACUUAAGAAAACCUCCGUAUUAUGGGUCAAGUUAUUAAUCAACUGCAACAAGAUGAUGAUGAGGAGGACAAUCUUCAGAAGGAUGAGGCUGAUGAGAAAGAGGCUGAUGUUCCAGCAGCAGGCAUAGAAAUAAAUCCACCUCAAGUUGAAGAACCCUGGGUCAAUAACAGAGCAGAGAUCCCAGCAGGAGAAAUGGAAAUAAACCCGGCCCAACAAGCUGAAGAUCCCAUAGCUGAAGAAAUGAGGUCAUUCUGGGAUAACGAGGAGGCUGAGAGUGACAGUGUCCCUGAGAGUGGUCCUGACAGUGACCCCGAUCACAGUGACACUGACGACAGCGACAGUGAUGAUGAUGGAGCCAAGGGUGGAGGAGAAUGAUGAAGAGGAAGAUGGGAGACCCAGAAAAUGAUCCAAACACUGAAUUUUGCUCCUGGACACUCAGUGUUGCACCCAUCCUCCAAACCCACA